UCCGGUGGUCAAAGCGAGGGGGAAACACCCGUUCCCAUCCCGAACACGGAAGUUAAGCCCCUCAGCGCCGAUGGUACUUCGCUAGAGAUGGCGCGGGAGAGUAGGACGCCGCCGGGA
rnacentral:rRNA from 1 species